CACCUCUAGCAUUACAAGUAUUAGAGGCAUUGCCUGCCCAGUGACUAUAGUUAAACGGCCGCGGUAUCCUGACCGUGCAAAGGUAGCAUAAUCAUUUGUUCCUUAAUUAGGGACUAGUAUGAAUGGCUAGACGAGGGAUCAACUGUCUCUUAUUUUCAAUCAGUGAAAUUGACCUUCCAGUGAAGAGGCUGGAAUACAAUAAUAAGACGAGAAGACCCUAUGGAGCUUAAAUUAACAAGCUUAAUUAUUACCUAAAUACCCUAAUGGAACAAAACAAAAAAUAUAAGCUUAAAAUUUUGGUUGGGGUGACCUCGGAGAACAAAAAAUCCUCCGAAAGAUAUAUAACAUAGACCUACAAGUCAAAGUAACUCAGUUAUCUUAUUGACCCAAAAAUUGAUCAACGGACCAAGUUACCCUAGGGAUAACAGCGCAAUCCUAUUUAAGAGUCCAUAUCGACAAUAGGGUUUACGACCUCGAUGUUGGAUCAGGACAUCCCAAUGGUGCAGAAGCUAUUAAUGGUUCGUUUGUUCAA
rnacentral:rRNA from 1 species